rnacentral:rRNA from 1 species
GAUGAACGCUGGCGGCGUGCCUAAUACAUGCAAGUCGAGCGAACUUUUGGGAGCUUUCUCGCAAAAGUUAGCGGCGGACGGGUGAGUAACACGUGGGUAACCUGCCUUUAACACUGGGAUAACUUCGGGAAACCAGAGCUAAUACCGGAUAACAUUUAAUACCACAUUGCCUUCAAUUAAAAGGUGGCGUUUAGCUACCACUUACAGAUGGACCCGCGGCGCAUUAGCUAGUUGGUGAGGUAACGGCUCACCAAGGCGACGAUGCGUAGCCGGCCUGAGAGGGUGGUCGGCCACACUGGGACUGAGACACGGCCCAGACUCCUUCGGGAGGCAGCAGUAGGGAAUCUUCCGCAAUGGACGAAAGUCUGACGGAGGCAGGCCGCGUGAGCGAAGAAGGCCUUCGGGUCGUAAGGGUCUGUUGUUAGGGAAGAACAAGUAUCGUUCGAAUAGGGCGGUACCUUGACGGUACCUAACCAGAAAGCCACGGCUAACUACGUG